rnacentral:rRNA from 1 species
AUUGAACGCUAGCGGGAUGCUUUACACAUGCAAGUCGAACGGCAGCGCGGACUUCGGUCUGGCGGCGAGUGGCGAACGGGUGAGUAAUGUAUCGGAACGUGCCCAGUAGCGGGGGAUAACUACGCGAAAGCGUAGCUAAUACCGCAUACGCCCUACGGGGGAAAGCAGGGGAUCGUAAGACCUUGCACUAUUGGAGCGGCCGAUAUCGGAUUAGCUAGUUGGUGAGGUAACGGCUCACCAAGGCGACGAUCCGUAGCUGGUUUGAGAGGACGACCAGCCACACUGGGACUGAGACACGGCCCAGACUCCUACGGGAGGCAGCAGUGGGGAAUUUUGGACAAUGGGGGCAACCCUGAUCCAGCCAUCCCGCGUGUGCGAUGAAGGCCUUCGGGGUGUAAAGCACUUUUGGCAGGAAAGAAACGUCGCGGGCUAAUACCCCGUGGAACUGACGGGACCUGCAGAAUAAGCACCGGCUAACUACG